GAUGAACGCUAGCGGCAGGCCUAACACAUGCAAGUCGAGGGGCAGCGAGAUGUAGCAAUACAUUGUCGGCGACCGGCGUAAGGGUGCGUAACACGUGAGUAACUUGCCCGUAACAGGGGGAUAAGCGAUGGAAACGUCGUCUAAUACCCCAUAAUAAUUGUUAUCGCAUGAUGAUGAUUUGAAAAUUCCGAUGGUUACGGAUAGACUCGCGUUACAUUAGCUAGUUGGUGAGGUAACGGCUCACCAAGGCGACGAUGUAUAGGGGUUCUGAGAGGAAGAUCCCCCACACUGGAACUGAGACACGGUCCAGACUCCUACGGGAGGCAGCAGUGAGGAAUAUUGGACAAUGGAGGGAACUCUGAUCCAGCCAUGCCGCGUGAAGGACUAAGGCCCUAUGGGUCGUAAACUUCUUUUGACGCAGAGCAAUAAGAGAUACGAGUAUUUUGAUGAGAGUAUGCGUCGAAUAAGCAUCGGCUAACUCCCGUGCCAGCAGCCGCGGUAAUACGGAGGAUGCGAGCGUUAUCCGGAUUUAUUGGGUUUAAAGGGUGCGUAGGCGGUUGUGCAAGUCAGUGGUGAAAUACGAACGCUCAACGUUCGGGCUGCCAUUGAAACUGUACGGCUAGAGUUCGGAUGCCGUGGGAGGAAUGAGUAGUGUAGCGGUGAAAUGCAUAGAUAUUACUCAGAACACCGAUUGCGAAGGCAUCUCACGAAUGCGAAACUGACGCUGAUGCACGAAAGCGUGGGGAUCAAACAGGAUUAGAUACCCUGGUAGUCCACGCUGUAAACGAUGAUAACUAACUGCCGGCGAUAAACGGUCGGUGGCCAAGCGAAAGCGAUAAGUUAUCCACCUGGGGAGUACGACCGCAAGGUUGAAACUCAAAGGAAUUGACGGGGGCCCGCACAAGCGGAGGAACAUGUGGUUUAAUUCGAUGAUACGCGAGGAACCUUACCCAGGCAUCGAACGGCAUAUGAAUAUUGCAGAGAUGUGAUAGUCUUCGGACAUAUGUCGAGGUGCUGCAUGGUUGUCGUCAGCUCGUGCCGUGAGGUGUCGGCUUAAGUGCCAUAACGAGCGCAACCCUUGUCGUUAGUUACCAUCAAGUAAAGUUGGGGACUCUAACGAGACUGCCACCGCAAGGUGUGAGGAAGGGGGGGAUGACGUCAAAUCAGCACGGCCCUUACGUCUGGGGCGACACACGUGUUACAAUGGUAGGUACAGAGGGUAGCUAUUGAGUGAUCAAGUGCAAAUCUCAAAAACCUAUCUCAGUUCGGACUGGAGUCCGCAACCCGACUCCACGAAGCUGGAUUCGCUAGUAAUCGCGCAUCAGCCAUGGCGCGGUGAAUACGUUCCCGGGCCU
rnacentral:rRNA from 1 species